UACGUAGGGCGCAAGCGUUGUCCGGAAUUAUUGGGCGUAAAGAGCUCGUAGGCGGUCUGUCGCGUCUGGUGUGAAAACUCAGGGCUUAACCCUGAGCUUGCAUCGGGUACGGGCUAGACUAGAGUGCGGGUAGGGGAGACUGGAAUUCCUGGUGUAGGCGGUGAAAUGCGCAGAUAUCAGGAAGAACACCGAUGGCGAAGGCAGUUCUCUGGGACGGUACUGACGCUGAGACGCGAAAGCGUGGGGAGCAAACAGG
rnacentral:rRNA from 1 species